GUAGGGAAUCUUCCACAAUGGACGAAAGUCUGAUGGAGCAACGCCGCGUGAGUGAAGAAGGUUCUCGGAUCGUAAAACUCUGUUGUGAGGGAAGAACAAGUACCGGAGUAACUGCCGGUACCUUGACGGUACCUCAUUAGAAAGCCACGGCUAACUACGUGCCAGCAGCCGCGGUAAUACGUAGGUGGCAAGCGUUGUCCGGAAUCAUUGGGCGUAAAGCGCGCGCAGGCGGUCCCUUAAGUCUGAUGUGAAAGCCCACGGCUCAACCGUGGAGGGUCAUUGGAAACUGGGGGACUUGAGUGCAGAAGAGGAAAGCGGAAUUCCAAGUGUAGCGGUGAAAUGCGUAGAGAUUUGGAGGAACACCAGUGGCGAAGGCGGCUUUCUGGUCUGUAACUGACGCUGAGGCGCGAAAGCGUGGGGAGCAAACAGGAUUAGAUACCCCAGUAGUCC
rnacentral:rRNA from 1 species